rnacentral:rRNA from 1 species
AACGAACGCUGGCGGCAUGCCUAACACAUGCAAGUCGAACGAGACCUUCGGGUCUAGUGGCGCACGGGUGCGUAACGCGUGGGAACCUGCCCUUAGGUUCGGAAUAACUCCCCGAAAGGGGUGCUAAUACCGGAUAAUGUCUUCGGACCAAAGAUUUAUCGCCUUUGGAUGGGCCCGCGUUGGAUUAGCUAGUUGGUAGGGUAAAAGCCUACCAAGGCGACGAUCCAUAGCUGGUCUGAGAGGAUGAUCAGCCACACUGGGACUGAGACACGGCCCAGACUCCUACGGGAGGCAGCAGUGGGGAAUAUUGGACAAUGGGCGGAAGGCUGAUCCAGCAAUGCCGGGUGAGUGAUGAAGGCCUUAGGGUUGUAAAGCUCUUUUACCCGGGAUGAUAAUGACAGUACCGGGAGAAUAAGCUCCGGCUAACUCCGUG